AGCUUUGCGUGGUGGCAAUAUCAUAGCCAAUGAGGUUUACCCAAGGCGCGAUUAUUGCUAACUGAAAACUACUGUAAUUGUUUUGAGGUGCCAAGAAUCACACCCAUAAGAUGGCAAACUUAAUCAAUGUUGUGUGUGUUCUGACUC
ensembl:snRNA U4 U4 spliceosomal RNA